rnacentral:ribozyme from 1 species
CUCAAAUCGCCAACCUAGAAUUACGAAUCGGAGAAUUGGAAGAAGUCGAGGAGGCCAGUAGAAGAAAGAUCGAAAGUUUGUACACAGAACUGCGUAAAGAGAGUUCUGAAACAGUUCGUCUCGAAUCUGAAAACCAACAACUCAAAAAAGCACUACAAAACAUGAUCAAUAGAUUGAAAAAUGAAACAGCGCGAUCAACA